rnacentral:rRNA from 1 species
UACGGAGGAUGCAAGCGUUAUCCGGAAUGAUUGGGCGUAAAGCGUCCGCAGGUGGCAGUUCAAGUCUGCUGUCAAAGACCGGGGCUUAACUUCGGAAAGGCAGUGGAAACUGAACAGCUAGAGUAUGGUAGGGGCAGAGGGAAUUCCUGGUGUAGCGGUGAAAUGCGUAGAGAUCAGGAAGAACAUCGGUGGCGAAAGGCGCUCUGCUGGACCAUAACUGACACUCAGGGACGAAAGCUAGGGGAGCGAAUGGG